rfam:Citrus sinensis cultivar Ridge Pineapple sweet orange scaffold00013_contig_64, whole genome shotgun sequence.
CUUUGUAUUUUUCCACAGCUUUCUUGAACUGCAUCAUCUUUGCAUGAGGCCACAGACUUGGCAUGGCAUUUGUUGCGGUUCAAUAAAGCUGUGGGAAGAUACAAACA